GAGCGGAGUUCAGUUGACAGUGAUGCUUUGUCAACAAUGUAUAUGUCAUAUUAUAGUAAUAUAAUUAAAUAGGCCUUAUGUAUUUUCUUUAAUAAUAUUUGUUUAAUGUACCGAUUUUCUCGGUUUUUCUACGUUUCCUGCGUAUUUUCCCGUUUUAGAAAAGUUGCUACACUUAAAAUCGGAACAAGAUUUCUGGCAGAAAAUUUGCGCACAGAUAAAACAAAAUAAAUAAAUAAAAUAAACAUCUGUGUAAAACCAUUGGCUUCUUCGCUUCACUCAGAAUCUAAAAAUGUAACCGUCGAUUGAACAUUUCACCGUCACUGGCGUCAGCUGCGAUUCAUGCACGUGCAAU